AAAGAGGGAGAAAAGCAAAUGUGCUAGCCUGUGUCCAGUGGCUAUUUUCAGACACUGGAACUACACAGAAGAGAGACUAGACCCACUAGAUGGCCAAUAUUUGAGCUCUUGGUGUUCAUGUGCACAGACCUGAGGAUGAGAAGAAUUAUGAUGGACUUCAAGAGGUCAAAGCAUUCUUCAUGGAUGGCCUCAGCCAAGAACACCUUUGCACAUGGUCUGCCACAGAUCAUUUUCAGAGCCAACUCUGGCGUAUGAUACAGUAUGCCAUGGAAGAGACGUGGGAGGGAAACAGUAGGGUUGUGUUCAGAAAGGGAGCAUAGAAAUGUAGACUGAGUAGGCACAUGA